rnacentral:rRNA from 1 species
UACGUAGGGAGCAAGCGUUGUUCGGAUUUACUGGGCGUAAAGGGCGCGUAGGCGGCCAAUUAAGUCAGCUGUGAAAUCUCCGAGCUUAACUCGGAACGGUCAGCUGAUACUGAUCUGCUAGAGUGCGGAAGGGGCAAUCGGAAUUCUUGGUGUAGCGGUGAAAUGCGUAGAUAUCAAGAGGAACACCUGAGGUGAAGACGGGUUGCUGGGCCGACACUGACGCUGAGUGCGCGAAAGCCAGGGGAGCAAACGGG